UGACAUAACACUUCACCCAUAUAAGAAAAGAAGAAAUGGAAAGAUUUGUUACUUAUAAUCGAACUAGUCAACAAGUAAUUGCACGAUAAUUAGUAUGAGAAAAGAAAAGAUGAAACUUUAUAUAAUUGUAAAAAUAAUCGGCUGUAUGUAGAUAAACGACCAUGAUAGUCGCCCGUGGACCGUGUGCAAUGUAAAUCGAUGCAAGUAUCUCUGAAACAUGAUUAGUGCAGCAAUAAAAUCACCGAGUUAUGUACCAUAUCUCGUAUUUAGAAUAUCAAAAAUAUAAAUAUGAAAGAUAUCGUAUUUGUUGAUAAUUUUAAAUGUUCAUAAUUUUAACUCGAACAUGUCGCAGCAAGGGGUCACCGAACUUACGAUCGAUAGCAUAGAUGUGUUUAACAAACCAUUCACAAUUAACAGAGAAAAAUAAAAAAGAAAUGAUUAAUGUUGCUCGUAUCAGGUCUUGAUACCGACGUGUCGUUAUUAAAUACAAAAAAGUAAUCAACAGUAAGAUUAAUUAAUUAUUAUCGUUAAUGAAACUAUAACGACUACAUAAUGUUGAGAAAGCGUCAUACUUUAUUUGUGUUAAUUGUCGUAUUAAUUGUUGCCACUGCCAAGUCCUUAUCCCGUUCCCUUUGUUUUACCGCAGGCCAUAAGGUUCGUUAAACGGAUCGUAACCUCGAAGAGGUACAUACCGUAACAUGUAGUUCAAAGGAAGUGUUUAGAAGAAGCGUUAUGGUAGAAAGUAAAUAGAUAGAUAUGGAUGUUUCUGCGUCACUAUUAAAACCGAAAGUUCGCACCAUCGCAGUGAUCGCAAGGUUGCUGCCUUAUUGAUCGGAGCGUCUUGGCGCCCGGCACCGCACCGGUCUCUCUCGCGAAAAGAGCCAACUUGCAUGUCUACAGAAACACAAAUGUACUACAUUUAUGUUUUUAUGCAUACGAUGCAUCUAUAGAACUGAGUCACAGUAAAAUUCAGAGUAUGCAAACGCAAUAUGCGAAUUAAACGAUCAAUUUGUAGCGAGAUGUCAUAAAUUACCAUUUUAUAGUUUGUUAGAUAGUAAAUAGAUUAGUAGAUUAGACUCGAUAGUAAUAAUCCGCUUUUUCGAUAGCAUUACAUUUUAUUGCCGUUUUACAUCGAAUGCAGAUGCGAAGUGUUUAGUCAAACUCGUUUUACACUUUUCUACGGUUACACUUUUUUUCUUAGUUAAGCAGUUCCAUAAAGCUCUACAAUCAGAAUCCUUCCUAUGGAGUUAUAAUAUCACAGUAAUAUCAAGUAACCGACAACUUUUUGCAAUUUUACAAUCUUUUCGACGAAUGGCAUAAUUAAGAGAUUUGCAAUUGAUGGAGUUUACUUGUACAAAAAAUUUGUUUUAUCUCCAAACCUGUUACCGUAACUUGUAACUUGUAACGCGUAUCUUGUAAUUUGUAACUUGUAAUGUUCCGUUAAUAAGUAAUAGUUCAAUCAUGUAAGAAGGCUCAGUUCAUAGAUAACGCAGGCGAAGUUAUAAUUCUUCAGGGGGUGGCUGCAUUUCACUUACUUCCCACGAUGACGCAAUGUACACUUUUCACAAAUUAAUAUCACGUAACGCUCAAAUACGUAGAAUGACGCAAAGAGGUAUUCAAGUAUAAAGACAAUCGCAAUUAUUAAUUCAAAUUAAACGCAAUUUUGCUAAGCUUUAUGCUCCAGUUUUUAUACGUCAAUUACUUUCCUAUAUAGACGUACGUUAAGAUCGAGGCAUGGGAACGAGAAAGUGUAUUUUAACAUACAAUCAUAGCAUCAGAGAUUCGGCAUAAAUAGAUACCAAUAUAUAUCUCUUUCGUUUCUCCAAACAAUUUCCCUAAUUACACGAUGCGUCGUUAUAUAACGCGUGAGAAUUUCUCAAUUAUGAAAGAUGAAGCUAUUCACAGGAGGAAGGUGCUCUAACGAUACCAAAUACCGCGAGUUCCGAUUUGGUAAAAGUUCGCGUGAAUCACGGUCCGUGGUCAUCGAAUUAGGACCACUUAGAACUUUCAAUAUUUUUCGCUCUUUUAGUAAGAUUAAGAGACGCGAAUUCUAACAACAAAGUCUAUUAAUUACUAGGAUGUUACACAUAUACGUGUUAAUAAUAAUUUGUGCUUCCUCCUGUAUUUUUAACAGGAUAAAUUAUUUUCAUGAUUAUUCCAGGACGGUUAGCAGGCACUAUCCAUUCCAUACAGACAAUGUUUCCAUCAAUAGAUUAUUUAACGAAGUUAAAUUUAAUUAGAAGAAAUCCUAACAACUCGAUUCCAAACAUUUUUCAAUUCUAUUCUAAAUUUCUAUUCUAAAUAAAUGAUUCUAUCCUGAAAUCGACAAUUGGCUGUAGCAAUGAAACCGCAAAGCCGUGCACCAAAGCAUAUGAACUGAUCAAGUAGAUAACGUUUUAAAAAACUAUAUCUGGUUAAAGAUUUAUUUGGAAAAAUAUCGCAUAUACACCGGUUUAAUGAUUCCAACAACUAAGAUCUGACAUAGUACGUGUAUACAUGACGUAUUAUUAGAAUUAGAAAAGUGAACUUUCUGCAUGUGGUUGAAAUUUAACUGUAUUUCCAGCGUUUAGCUAUAGAUACUAGUUUCAAAAGUUGGUAAACGUCGAUGACGUGAAAGGGCUUAAUACAGUGUGUGAUUCGCGACGAUAAUUCGUACACGCUUGGGAAAAUCGUACGGCACUGUGCCGUGGGUGCUAUAAAAGCACGGUAACGCGGGCUGCGCCGGCGAAUCAAUAGUUCGUCGACACUACAUACGUCCGACCUGAAGUCGGAAAAACCAUCGGAGCUUGAUUUUACGAGAGUGUGCACUGUGCACGCUCUCGACGACAGCCAGACGGUAAAUCGUAUAUGAGAGAGCCAUCGAAUUACGGAUCUUCCGUUAGUCUCUAUGUCCCUGCGAGCUGUUCGCAGGAGCUGGAUGGUUUCCGCGAGCAAAAAUAAACCGUGGGUGGUGACUGACAUUUUUGCCCGUGCCUUUUAUCCCGUUUGGAGGGUGUAGAAGAUAUAAAACGGCUGAUUCGUCUGACUCUUCCGAAGAAACAUUGAAAAACUUGAAAUUCUAUAUGUAGAACUUUCGCAUGUGUGUAUGUUAACUUAUAAACUGUUUUCUAGGAUGGAUGGCUCUUUUUCGAAUUAAGUUUCUCACAAUGGAUCUCGUUGCCGUAGGAGUCUUAUACAGGAAAAUACGUCACUGAUUAAUUGCUGGAAUUGCAUCAUCGAACGAUUAAAAAAGAUUGCAUUAUUUAUAAGGCUGGCCAAUAUAUGCAGAUUGAAACAGUAGUAAGAAUGUAAUCGAGCUUUUUAAGUCGCUCAAAUUUGAUUUAGAUUCGUACUUCAUCAGACGGCACAAAGGAUUCAGCGAGGCAAUCUUUCCGGUUCUCUUUGUCUCUCUGGUCCUCUAUAAAAUAAUAAUGACGAAAGCAGUUUACAUUCUGUAUAUAAAUUUCGAGUAGCAUUAAUGAAGAGUCUCGUUGUGUACAUAGAUCUCUAAAACAUUUUUAAUGUAUCUACUGCAUUAAAGGGUACAGAAGACUUGGAGAGGAAGUUAAUUAUUUGUUCAGAAAAAGGAUCCAAAUCCCGUGUACAGAAUAAUAGUCCUGUUCAUUAAGAACUUCAUCGAGUAGCUAGGCCCUCGAACCUCUUACAAUUCGUUUUGCGUUUCCACUGGCGACAAGUGGUUCGACACGGGUAUACUCAUCGUCGUCUGUUUGUUUCACCGAGAACUUGACGGAGAAUUUAGUCGAAUGGAAGUCGGUCAGCCAAAAUGUAAAUUACCGGCAUUAUUCUACCGACGUAAAUAGACACUGGGAAGCCAGGUGCGAGUCACAUUGGUCGUUCCCGCGGCAAAUUUAUCGCGAACUGAAAUUAGAGCGGCUUAUCGGAUCAGUAUUGACCUUUUUUCGCCCCUCUUUUUCUUCGUUCGAUUAUACAAGUGCAAGGACGACUCGUAGACCGAUUAUACUUAAAUAUAUUCUAUCGUACACACGUUCUUCGCGUAUCGACGCAACGUGUGAUUCCCUGAUUGCGUGUCGAAAUUUCCAAUUGUAGAUACAACUUACGGUUUUCAAGUCACAGAAAUGCACACGACUACUUUGCGUCUACCAUUUGGUUCAAUGCCUAUCGGUAUCUUUUGCGAUAAAUCACUUCGAGUGCUUUCUUCGUUUCUCGCUAUUAAAAUGUAUUUAGAUCUCAAGUAACGUAAUCUCCAAGUUUACACCUCGUGUACGGUAUAUCUAUAUACAAGGUUACAUCGCCAUAAGCCGAGUACGACUAUAGUCCUAUGUUAGUUUAACACGAAUUUCAUUCCACGCGUUUAGACUUUCGUUGCUCGAAGAAACUUUAAGAAAGCGUUAAAAAGAUGCGCCACCCAUUAUUAUGUAACGUUAUGCAAUUACCGUUAACUCUCUGGUCCCGUUGGUGUAUUAAAUGGUCGAAUAUGUGGUGCACCUUUGGACCACGUUUAGACGAUACAAAAGGCAGCUCGACGAACGUUUGUCGAGUUAACCAGCCAGAGAGUUGCUUGUACGAUGUCUCGUUGGAGCGGGACGAGUCAGCCACCGUGAGUAUUUUCUCCGUGUACGCGUCCACUUCAUUUUCUUCGAAGAAAUCAACGAUAGAAACCUGCGAGUUUCGCUCCUUAAGAACGCAGGAAAAAUCCUUUUCCCUUCGUGAAAGCGGUCAAGCCUUGGCGGCUGGCGCUCUGAAUCGUCUGGAUAUAGUAAUUAACGAAGAAAUCGCCUUUUAAUUGGACCAGAUACGAACUGGAACGGCGAUCCAAGCGACAGCGUCUUCUAGGCGCAUGCAACCGUAUACAAUCUACCUUAUUACAAUGUGUUCGAACUUACGCGAUAA